GUUUGUUUACAUUUUCAACGUUCUCCGACUUUCUAAGACGUGUUUUAUGCCACUUCUUUUUCUUUCUCAUUUUGUCAAACAAACUUAUAACGUUGCGCAUGAAUGCACAAAGGAAAACUAACGUCAGAACGACUGCAAUGCUUCUGGGCACAGCCACACAUCUGGCGCCUCUUGUUUGGUGUCCAUGCUCUCUCCAUUCAAGUCUCUGGGGUCCCCCCGACCAGUACAUUUCCUCAACACACAGCAUCAAACAGAAAGCCAAAGAUUGGUGCUCUCCUCAGCAAAGCCCUCAAGGCGCAUGAAGCUAUCCAGAUGUGCUUCUCCCACACGCUGUGGACUCCAGCAUCCCUGCCAUUUUUUUCCACACGCCCAGCUCUUUUUUUCAACCCCUUCAUUUACAAUCAGGCCACAUUUCAAGCACUAUCGUUAAAUCAGCUUCUCCCUUCCAUGUUUUCCCCCCUCUCUUGGUGGUGAGAUUAAUUAGAAAUGCAAACUGUAAUCAGAUCAGUGGA